GGGAUCUCUCCUGCUUCUCAUUUCUCUGCAGAUUGUGUGCAGAAGCUUCUCCCUGGAACACACCAUAGAUUUCAUGAUGGCCAUCAAGGACACCUUCCGGAAGGCCAAAGGAAUGCGUGUGCGUGCUGCUGGGAAGUGGAUGAUCACCUUUCUGCAGAUGCAUGGAAAGGACAUCUGUCGGGAUGUAAGAGACUUUCUUCCACGAGUCUUGGACUUUUGUUGGCUGUUGCACUACACCUUGUUGCCGUUUGCCUCUUGUGCUAAAGAAGCACAGCCUGAGCGCAGAGCCAGGGCUUGGACAGGGUGACCGGUGUGAAAUGUAGGCUUAGGCCUUGGCGGCAUGUCAAGGGAGCAGGCACCGUUCAUGUGCUGAAUGUCCAUGAUUAGGUCCUGCAGAGUCAAGGAUGCAGCAAGUCAUUCUUUCUCCCCUUCUUCUUUCAGCUUGACCUUUCACCGAUCGUCUACAUCCUGCGCAGCUGCAUGUCGUCCCUGCAGCACAGCACGAACAUGCCAUUCCUGUGCCAGGCGGCGGCCAUCCUCACCCGCUGUCACGCAGACGUCACAAUUGACAGCUUCUUCCACAGGCGUUGAGCCCACAGACAGGUACUGGCACUCCUGCCUUUGCUAUUGUAGCGGUCCCAGUUGUAGCUGUCUGUAUGAGUUGAAAAUUACUCAGUCAUGACUUGAAACUCUCCUUUUUCUAGCGAGACAUGGAAGAGAAUAAG
ensembl:lncRNA